rnacentral:siRNA from 1 species
UAGUCAUAUGCUUGUCUCA